GACGAACGCUGGCGGCGUGCUUAACACAUGCAAGUCGAACGGUAAGGCCCUUCGGGGUACACGAGUGGCGAACGGGUGAGUAGCACGUGGGUGAUCUGCCCUGCACUUCGGGAUAAGCCUGGGAAACUGGGUCUAAUACCGGAUAGGACCACUGCCUGCAUGGGUGGUGGUGGAAAGCUUUUGCGGUGUGGGAUGGGCCCGCGGCCUAUCAGCUUGUUGGUGGGGUGAUGGCCUACCAAGGCGACGACGGGUAGCCGGCCUGAGAGGGUGACCGGCCACCCCGGGACUGAGAUACGGCCCAGACUCCUACGGGAGGCAGCAGUGGGGAAUAUUGCACAAUGGGCGCAAGCCUGAUUCAGCGACGCCGCGUGAGGGAUGACGGCCUUCGGGUUGUAAACCUCUUUCAGCACCGACGAAGCGCAAGUGACGGUAGGUGCAGAAGAAGGACCGGCCAACUACGUGCCAGCCGCCGCCGUAA
rnacentral:rRNA from 1 species